rnacentral:lncRNA from 1 species
GCCGCUGCCCCUUUCCCGGCCGGUGGCUGCCGCUGCCGGUGCCGCCGCCGCCGCCUCCUGGGGGCCGCGAGCCGAGCGGAGACCGCCGCGGAGCGCGAGCGCCGCCCGCCCCGCCGCCCCGCCGGCCGCUCCAGGGCCGGGCCGGCUCGGCCGGCGCCCCCCGCGCCCCCAGCCCGCCCGCCCCCGCGGGCCCGGCCUGGCGCGGCCGCCCGCCGCCGCGCUCCUCCUCCUCCUCCUCCAGCGCCCGGCGGCCCGCUGCCUCCUCCGCCCGACGCCCCGCGUCCCCCGCCGCGCCGCCGCCGCCACCCUCUGCGCCCCGCGCCGCCCCCCGGUCCCGCCCGCCAUGCCCGGCCCGGCCGCGGGCAGCAGGGCCCGGGUCUACGCCGAGGUGAACAGUCUGAGGAGCCGCGAGUACUGGGACUACGAGGCUCACGUCCCGAGCUGGGGUAAUCAAGAUGAUUACCAACUGGUUCGAAAACUUGGUCGGGGAAAAUAUAGUGAAGUAUUUGAGGCCAUUAAUAUCACCAACAAUGAGAGAGUGGUUGUAAAAAUCCUGAAGCCAGUGAAG